UGGUUUCAGGUCUUACAUUCAGGUCUUUAAUCCGUUUUGAGUCUAUGUUUAUGUUGAAAGGCAGUGGUCCU